GAUGAACGCUGGCGGCGUGCCUAAUACAUGCAAGUCGAGCGAACAGAUGAGAAGCUUGCUUCUCUGAUGUUAGCGGCGGACGGGUGAGUAACACGUGGGUAACCUACCUAUAAGACUGGGAUAACUCCGGGAAACCGGGGCUAAUACCGGAUAAUAUUUUGAACCGCAUGGUUCAAUAGUGAAAGACGGUUUCGGCUGUCACUUAUAGAUGGACCCGCGCCGUAUUAGCUAGUUGGUAAGGUAACGGCUUACCAAGGCGACGGAACGUAGCCGACCUGAGAGGGUGAUCGGCCACACUGGAACUGAGACACGGUCCAGACUCCUACGGGAGGCAGCAGUAGGGAAUCUUCCGCAAGGGGCGAAAGCCUGACGGAGCAACGCCGCGUGAGUGAUGAAGGUCUGCGGAUCGUAAAACUCUGUUGUUAGGGAAGAACAAAUUUGUUAGUAACUGAACAAGUCUUGACGGUACCUAACCAGAAAGCCACGGCUAACUACGUGCCAGCCGCCGCAGUAA
rnacentral:rRNA from 1 species